rnacentral:rRNA from 1 species
UAAGACGAACCAUGCAAACGUUAUUCGGAUUCACUGGGCUUAAAGCGUGCGUAGGCGGCGAUGUUAGUCAGGUGUGAAAGCCCUCAGCCCAACUGAGGAAUUGCGCUUGAUACUGCAUCGCUAGAGAAUGAUAGAGGUGGGUGGAACUGAUGGUGGAGCGGUGAAAUGCGUUGAUAUCAUCAGGAACACCAGUGGCGAAGGCGACCCACUGGGUCAUUUCUGACGCUGAGGUACGAAAGCUAGGGUAGCGAACGGG